ensembl:lncRNA
AGUUUGCUUGAAAUGAACAAGGAAAUAGUGUACACAGACGACUUGUUGUGUUGUCCGGAGGAGGGAUUCAGUCCCAGGCCUAAAUCUAUGAUGCACAUAGACACCAAUCACAAAUCGAUAAGGAUAGUUGGUGAAAUAAUGGCAGUGAGCAUUACUCAGGAUGGACCUCCACCCAAGUUUUUCAUGGAGUGGAUAUACAAUUUCAUUUCUUCCGGGGAGAUUAAUAAAGAUGAGCUGACAAAGGCUGACAUAACAAAUGCAGACCUGCUAGAUCUAAUUGACAAGAUUGAGACCACAGACACUACAUCCUUGCUUGACCUUUCUGAAAGAAUCGUAGCAUGUGGGUGCACAGGACCCCUAACAUGUGAUGAAAGGAAGACAUUGUCAGUGUUGUUGUUCUGCAUUCGUCUGUGUGAAUCCUCCCAAUGCUGCAGCAAAUGUGCAGAGGAUUGGAAAUCUAUGGCCUCCAUGAAAUGGUGA